rnacentral:rRNA from 1 species
AGAGUUUGAUCAUGGCUCAGGAUGAACGCUGGCGGCGUGCUUAACACAUGCAAGUCGAGCGAGAGAGUUCUUCGGAACAAUCUAGCGGCGGACGGGUGAGUAACACGUGGGCAACCUGCCUCAUAGAGGGGAAUAGCCUCCCGAAAGGGAGAUUAAUACCGCAUAACAUUAUCAAGUGGCAUCACAUGAUAAUCAAAGGA